rnacentral:rRNA from 1 species
AAUGGGAGCUUGCUCCCUGAGAUUAGCGGCGGACGGGUGAGUAACACGUGGGUAACCUGCCUGUAAGAUUGGGAUAACUCCGGGAAACCGGAGCUAAUACCGGAUAAUAUUUUGAACCGCAUGGUUCAAAAUUGAAAGAUGGUUUCGGCUAUCACUUACAGAUGGACCCGCGGCGCAUUAGCUAGUUGGUGAGGUAACGGCUCACCAAGGCAACGAUGCGUAGCCGACCUGAGAGGGUGAUCGGCCACACUGGGACUGAGACACGGCCCAGACUCCUACGGGAGGCAGCAGUAGGGAAUCUUCCGCAAUGGACGAAAGUCUGACGGAGCAACGCCGCGUGAACGAUGAAGGCCUUCGGG